GUUGCAAUAUGGCCUGGUGUACAUAACGCUUCUCUGAUGUUUUAAGUAUAAAAGUAUCACAAAAGAAUAGAACAAUUAUAGAAGAUACGAACUGAGACUAAGAUGGCGAAAAUUACGUUUGCUCUUUUAAUGGUGAUAAUGAUGCUAGGCAUCAUUUCUGACGAAACAUUAGCUAAACCUGGUAUCCACUUCACUUACGAGAAACAUGUCCACCAUGGUCCCAGUGCUCCAUCACCGCCAUCGGGUGGUGGGCGUGGAGGUGGACGUCGCGGUGGUGGACGUUGGAAGAAACGGCAUAUCGUAGAAAACGUAGAUGAUUUGGAGGAGUUCGAACGAUUUGUAAAUGAAGGAAUGGAAGAUCUUAAAGAACAAAAUUAACAUGUACGUGUACUUCAAAAACAGUACCGUUGAAUGUGUAAAUGAAGGUGAAUAAAACAAAAUAAUGCAGAUA